rnacentral:rRNA from 1 species
AGAGUUUGUAGUCCUGGCUCAGGCGAACGCUGGCGGCGUGCUUAACACAUGCAAGUCAACGGGGUGGCCCAUGAAGAGAUUUCGGUCACGGAUUGGGUUGCUUAGUGGCGGACGGGUGGAGUAACGCGUGAGGAACCUGCCUUUCAGAGGGGGACGAACAGUUGGAAACGACUGCUAAUACCGCAUAACAUGUAGGUGUCGCAUGGCAUUUACAUCAAAGAUUUAUCGCUGAGAGAUGGCCUCGCGUCUGAUUAGCUAGUUGGUAGGGUAACGGCCUACCAAGGCGACGAUCAGUAGCCGGACUGAGAGGUUGGCCGGCCACAUUGGGACUGAGAUACGACCCAGACUCCUACGGGAGGCAGCAGUGGGGAAUAUUGGGCAAUGGGCGCAAGCCUGACCCAGCAACGCCGCGUGAAGGAAGAAGGCUUUCGGGUUGUAAACUUCUUUUGUCAGGGAAGAGUAGAAGACGGUACCUGACGAAUAAGCCACGGCUAACUACGUG